rnacentral:rRNA from 1 species
AUGGAUCAGAAGCUGAUCGAGCACCUUGAGGCCAAAGUGAGUGCUGAUAGUGCGAGAUUUCAGUCUCUCAUCGAUUUGUUCAUACCAACCAUCGACAACGAGCAUGGCAUAUGCUACACCCAACCUGAGAAACUUCCAGGUAUCACACUGAGUGGCCUAAGGAAGCAUUUCUUCCAGCGCAAUUCCAGGGCAUUCAAAAGGGGCACGUGGACGCGUCGCCAGAUAGACUCGGCGUGCGGCAUGCACGUGAUGUGGCACAAGACUGGCAAUACCUUGCCGGUGAUAGUCAACAGCCGGCAGACGGGCAGCAAAAAAGGUUCUGGUGCUGCACACCAACAAGAACUUCGACCAGCAGAGGACCAACUGGGUGAUGCACCAGUACCACCUCAGGGACCAGGAGAAAGAGAAGGAGCGGGAGAUGGUCCUCUGAAAGAUUUUCUACUAGACGAACACUAG